AUGGGAUGGCUUCAUACAGCAGGCCUGAAUGGCGUCGUUCUCCAGCGGCUGCCCACUGUGGAAACAGCCGAUUAUGGUAUUGGGGAAUUUCCUGUCAAAUCAUACCUGUGUCCUCAGGGGUGGGAUCCUCAGUCGGGGCCAGGGUUACCGCUUCUGUGCUUCCAUCCUCAGACUGGGCAGUGUCCAGAUCUGGAUCCUCCGUCUGAGGUACUUCAGCUCCUGUGUGAAGAGGAAAAUGACCUUUUUGAAUACCAAUGGCCACAUGACUGGACACGGCACUUAACCAAACUACAUUUAUGUACAUGCGUUAUUUUGGCAGCAACUGUUGAUAUAAACUCAACAGCUUUGAAUCGGAAUAUGUGGAAUAUCCGCUCCACUUCUUGAGAAACUACAGCUCUACAGUUUCUCGUUAGGCUGAAUGAGUAACCGACUCUAAAUGAAGGUAUUUGGCCAUAAAGGCAUCAAUAAUGGUGCAGUGCUGAGGAUCUCACAUGUAUAAGCCAUUUCUGUGUGUAUAUACUGUAUAUAUCUUAAUAAGUGGGCCGUGAUGAAGUGGCGCUAACAGCUCGUUCACUGCAGCUUGAAAAGAGUCCUACUGAAUACCUCAUCACCUUCAGUGCUUCCCCGAAUGAGAAGCGUCAUUACUGCAACACCACGUCAACGGUUAGAGCUAAAGCAACCCCACCGCUCUGCUGCACCACGCUUGUUCAGCCAGAGGGAAGAAACGCUGGGUGUGUUUAGGGCGUGGGUGUCUGUUAUAGCUGAGAGUGAAAAGAAGCAAACGUACCGUCGUCCUCUGACGCCGCCACUUUCCCUCCUGUCACACACAAAAAAACAAGUUGUAGAAACGUUUAAAGGGCCCAAGUGAAAAAGUUCAACAGAAAGAUAUCGUAAUUCGCGACGCACCGAAAUGAAAAUUCUUUACUGAGCCCAAACCCAAAACUCAGGAUACGCUCAUCUGAAACCCAAAGACCAAGAACAGAGGAAACGGCUCUUUUCUCGGGAUCGUUUUACCGAUUUGGUUCAGAGUAAAAAAUGACCUCAUACCUUAAUUAUGCUUCUUUUAUUAUAAUAAAUGACUGAAUAUUCCAUUUGGUCGCCAACAAAGCAAUCACUUUGUGUUUCGGUAGAGACAUGAAAACGUGUGACCUGUGAUAAAUCUAAACCUUUCAAUUAUACUGAAGGAGAAAUCAAAAAGACCGAAAAAAUGCAUCAUUUUC
ensembl:lncRNA